GAUGAACGCUGGCGGCGUGCCUAAUACAUGCCAGUCGAGCGAACGGACGAGAAGCUUGCUUCUCUGAUGUUAGCGGCGGACGGGUGAGUAACACGUGGAUAACCUACCUAUAAGACUGGGAUAACUUCGGGAAACCGUAGCUAAUACCGGAUAAUAUUUUGAACCGCAUGGUUCAAAAGUGAAAGACGGUCUUGCUGUCACUUAUAGAUGGAUCCGCGCUACAUUAGCUAGUUGGUAAGGUAACGGCUUACCAAGGCAACGAUGCAUAGCCGACCUGAGAGGGUGAUCGGCCACACUGGAACUGAGACACGGUCCAGACUCCUACGGGAGGCAGCAGUAGGGAAUCUUCCGCAAUGGGCGAAAGCCUGACGGAGCAACGCCGCGUGAGUGAUGAAGGUCUUCGGAUCGUAAAACUCUGUUAUUAGGGAAGAACAUAUGUGUAAGUAACUGUGCACAUCUUGACGGUACCUAAUCAGAAAGCCACGGCUAACUACGUG
rnacentral:rRNA from 1 species